UACGUAGGGUGCGAGCGUUAAUCGGAAUUACUGGGCGUAAAGCGUGCGCAGGCGGUUUGCUAAGACCGAUGUGAAAUCCCCGGGCUUAACCUGGGAACUGCAUUGGUGACUGGCAAGCUAGAGUAUGGCAGAGGGGGGUAGAAUUCCACGUGUAGCAGUGAAAUGCGUAGAGAUGUGGAGGAAUACCGAUGGCGAAGGCAGCCCCCUGGGCCAAUACUGACGCUCAUGCACGAAAGCGUGGGGAGCAAACAGG
rnacentral:rRNA from 1 species